rnacentral:ncRNA from 1 species
CCGAAGAGUAGAAGCGUUCAGCGUGGUGCAUCCGCCGCACCCGCCCGGAAAUUGCUCUUGUG